UACGUCGGCAGCAGGAGUGAAGCAGGAGGAAGACAGGGACUUUCCUUCGUUUUCUGAGAGCCUGCCUGCCUUGACGGCAUGCGUGAGUGCAGAACCAGCAGUGAAACGGCAGGUGUCCGCAGAUGCGAGAGAGAAGCGUGCAGGACACGAGGCUGCUGCCACACGAACAGAUACAGAUUUCCAGUACGACGGACAGGUGACUGUGUUAAAGACCCGUGAAGAUGUUAGUGUAAAGGGAGCUGUUAUUCCCAAAUGAGUGCAGGAGGGAGACUGCAGAGAGUAGCAGAUUCCAGAUAUA